rnacentral:rRNA from 1 species
CCUACGGGAGGCAGCAGUGAGGAAUAUUGGUCAAUGGUCGGAAGGCUGAACCAGCCAAGCCGCGUGAAGGACGAAGGUGCCAAGCAUUGUAAACUUCUUUUGUCAGGGGACAAAAACUGGCUCGAGCGCCUGAAUGAGGGUCCUUGAAGAAAAAGCAUCGGCUAACUCCGUGCCAGCAGCCGCGGUAAUACGGAGGAUGCGCGCGUUAUCCGGAUUUAUUGGGUGUAAAGGGUGCGUUGGCGGGCUGGUAAGUUAGAGGUGAAAAGCCCGGGCUUAAACCCGGGCGAGCCUUUGAAACUGGAUGUCUGGAGAGGUGGAGAGGCAGGCGGAAUGCGUAGUGUAGCGGUGAAAUGCUUAGAUAUUACGCAGAACACCGAUUGCGAAGGCAGCAUGCUG